ACUCCUACGGGAGGCAGCAGUGGGGAAUAUUGCACAAUGGGGGGAAACCCUGAUGCAGCCAUGCCGCGUGUGUGAAGAAGGCCUUCGGGUUGUAAAGCACUUUCAGUAGGGAGGAAGGUAGUGUAGUUAACACCUGCACUAUUUGACGUUAACCUACAGAAGAAGCACCGGCUAACUCCGUGCCAGCAGCCGCGGUAAUACGGAGGGUGCGAGCGUUAAUCGGAAUUACUGGGCGUAAAGCGCAUGCAGGCGGCCUGUUAAGUCAGAUGUGAAAGCCCGGGGCUUAACCUCGGAAUUGCAUUUGAAACUGGCAGGCUAGAGUCUUGUAGAGGGGGGUAGAAUUUCAGGUGUAGCGGUGAAAUGCGUAGAGAUCUGAAGGAAUACCAGUGGCGAAGGCGGCCCCCCUGGACAAAGACUGACGCUCAGAUGCGAAAGCGUGGGGAGC
rnacentral:rRNA from 1 species